ACAGGCAAAUGCAAGUCAAAGCAACAUACAGUGAAUACUCUUAUUUGUAUUAACAAAAAAAUUACAAACAAGCUGGGUAGGGUGGGACAUGCCUUUAACCCAGCAUUUAGGAAGCUGAGGCAGAGAAUUAUUAUGAACUCAGGGCCAGCUUGGGCUAUGAUAGUGAAACCCAAUCUCAAAACCACCAAGAAAGAACCAGGCAUGGUGGCUCAUGCCUUUAAAACCCAGUACUCAAGAGGCAGAGGCAGGAGGAUCUCUGAUUUCGAGGCUAACCUGGUCUACACAGAGAAACUCUGUCUUGAAAAACAACAACAAUGACGACGACAAUAAAAAAAGCAUCAAAGGAAAAAAAAAACUACGUAAAUAAACUUCUGCAUGUGUGCAUGUGCACGCAGAGGUAUUCUUAUAAUCUACAGAACAUGAUCUGUCCAAAAAGACUUAAGUCAAACCAUGAAGAGUGGUUACUUUCGUGGAAUGAUUCUGGGACUGUGUGAAAAAGAACAUAUUUUGAUGCUGUUUAUACCAUUUUCAAUAAAUAUGCUGUUUUGUUAUUAAAAGUGUCAAAAGGUAGAAAACUUGCAGCCUAAAGGAGAAAAGCUGGGCCUGAUGAACGAGUGUCUUCCGUUGACUUUUCCACUCAGAAGCCUGCUCUGCAAACCUGAGUCAGCCCCUGCUCUCACGGCCCUGCCCCAAACCUGCUGUAGUUCUCCUCGGGCCCUCUCUCUUCCGCGUCAGCCUCAUCGGUCCUGUCAUACGUCAGGAGGUCUGCAGGGACAUCAUGAAUCUGGACACUCGGUGCAUGGUUCAGCAUCUUCAAGUUUUCAAAGAUUGUCUGGCGGAUCUGGUCCAGAUACUAGUAGAGAGGAAAGAAAAGUCAGCAGCUCCUGGGUGAUCCCCAGAGAACACACCCUUCUCUCUGCCUUCUACCCUGACAGUCCUGGUUUUAAGUAGUAUUUCGAGUUCAGACAGUUGACAACUGUCCUUACUUUAUCCUGGGCUGCCCUGAGAUGGUAAGAGAGACAGCGACAGCCAGAACUUCCUUCUCUUGCUUUCUCCUACUUCCCACCUCCCGGACCUCUCCUGAGUCCUCUUCAUCGCCGUGUCCGGCUUCUCCAAGCUGCUAACCUGUCGUGAGUUCUGAUUCUCGAUGCGGGUGCUGACGUCUGGAUGGAGCGUGAAGUCGGGGGCAAAGUACUCGAAGUAUUCUUAGAGAUAAGAAGGAAUUGGAGAGGGGAUGAACCAUUAGUAUGGCUGAGAUACAAAAAGGGAGUCCACAGCGAACCACAAAAGAGAAAGAGAACAGAGUACUCACCAGCACCUGGCAACGUUUCGGACAGUGUAGCCACCACCACCCAGCACCAGGAGAGGGAUAUUGAAGCUCUUGACAUAUUCAACACAUUCCCUGUUAGAAGCAAUCAGAGGACUGGGUGAAUCCAAGACAUGUGACCCCAGUAUGUGUAUUUGCGUAUGGGCAAGGAUACACAGACACACACAUCAUGAUGAUGAUGAUGAUGAUGAUGGUGAUGGUGAUGAUGAUGAAAUACAACUUUAAAUAAGAACAACAAGAACAAGCAGGCAGGCAGUUCUCACCCAUGUCCUCGGAUGCUGAGAUUGAAACAGCCUAAUCGAUCACAGCCCAGGGAGUCAGCUCCACACUGCAAAAAAGAAAAACCCAGAUGGCUACGGUAACAUGAACGAUCAGAAAACCAGUGUCCUCCCUCACCACUUUGGGGAACUUCUUCUUCCCCGAUCUCCUUCCUCAAGCCCAGGAAAGCCCUCUUAGGGAGGCGCGAACAGCAUUACCUGGAGCACGAUGCACGUAGGUUGGUAGAAGUCCACCACCUGGCUGAUGACUGGCUGGAAAAGGUGCUUGUAACCUGGGAGAGGGCCAAAGGUGGGCAACCUGGCACCCCAAGGGGAUGGGGAGACAGGGAACAAAAGGAAAAAGGGGGUUGAGAGAGCAUGUAGCCCAGGAAAGGGGCAACCCACAGAACCAACCACUGGUUCUGAACUUCGGGAGGGUGCCACAAACUGCUAUGAGUGACUGACUAACAACCUUCUUCCCAGAAAAAUAAAUAAGUAAAUGAAACACACAUAUACAUAAUAUAUUGCAUACAAAUUCCAGAGGUUCACGGUCCCUCUGAAGGUCAUUCAUCCUUGGCCCAACAAUAGACAAUACCAGGCAGAAAAGGGUUAAUUGAAAGAGAAAAAGAAGGGGAAAGUGAGCAUGGGAGGUCAUCAGUACUUACUCUGAUCAUCAAUGCCGUCCCGUAAGGGCACAUUGAGACAAUAGUAGCGGCCACUCUCUGCUCCAACUUCAUACAUGUCACCUAUAGAAAAGUGGGUACAGCAGCCAUGCACAGUAAGUUUCCAUAACACAGCUGUUCCUUCUGUGCCCUCUACCAUGUGCUCUCUAAGGCUCCAGCAUUCACUCAAUACAGGGGCACAGCUAUAUAACUCAGGCUAGCCAGGAACCUGCUAUAUUGCUCAGGCUAGCUUUGAACUCUCACUUCCCCUGCCUCCUCCUGCUGAUUGCUGGGAUUACAGCUAUGUGCUUUCCUGCCUGGUUCAUGCCUGGUGUCCAUGGAGGUCAGAAGAGGGCAUCAGAUCUUCUGGAACUGGGAGUUACAGACAGUUGUGAGCUGCCAUGUGAGUGGUGGGAACAGAAC